UCUUCGAUGGUCUAGUGGUCAUGAUUUCCGCUUGUCAGCGCCCAUUGUGGGCGUACAAGCGCGGGAGACCGGGGUUCGAUUCCCCGUCGGAGAG